AAAACGGGCGAAAAUGUCGACUUGGAGGUUGUGCCCUUGAGGCGUGGCUUCCGGAGCUAACGCGUUAAGUCGACCGCCUGGGGAGUACGGCCGCAAGGUUAAAACUCAAAUGAAUUGACGGGGGCCCGCACAAGCGGUGGAGCAUGUGGUUUAAUUCGAUGCAACGCGAAGAACCUUACCUGGUCUUGACAUCCACGGAAGUUUUCAGAGAUGAGAAUGUGCCUUCGGGAACCGUGAGACAGGUGCUGCAUGGCUGUCGUCAGCUCGUGUUGUGAAAUGUUGGGUUAAGUCCCGCAACGAGCGCAACCCUUAUCCUUUGUUGCCAGCGGUCCGGCCGGGAACUCAAAGGAGACUGCCAGUGAUAAACUGGAGGAAGGUGGGGAUGACGUCAAGUCAUCAUGGCCCUUACGACCAGGGCUACACACGUGCUACAAUGGCGCAUACAAAGAGAAGCGACCUCGCGAGAGCAAGCGGACCUCAUAAAGUGCGUCGUAGUCCGGAUUGGAGUCUGCAACUCGACUCCAUGAAGUCGGAAUCGCUAGUAAUCGUGGAUCAGAAUGCCACGGUGAAUACGUUCCCGGGCCUUGUACACACCGCCCGUCACACCAUGGGAGUGGGUUGCAAAAGAAGUAGGUAGCUUAACCUUCGGGAGGGCGCUUACCACUUUGUGAUUCAUGACUGGGGUGAAGUCGUAACAAGGAACCGUAAAGUAAUGCGGUAUUAGCUACCGGUUCCACUAGUUAUCUGCCUCCAUCACGGGAGUUCCGCAGACAUUACUCACCCGUCCGCCACUCGUCAGCACAUAACAAGCUCCUUCCUGUUACGGUUCGACUUGCAUGUGUUAAGCCUGGCGCCAGCGUUCAAUCUGACGUGUCUAGGAUAAAUAAACAAAUA
rnacentral:rRNA from 1 species